CCGUUGAUGUAGACGGCGUGAAAACGGAAACAACAAGUAUGCCGGCUCACUGUGCUGCAUACAAUUACACACUACGUCGUACGAUUGAGACAAGGAAACUUGGAAUGAUUUUUCAUAGGUUUCCCAGAGACUAUGGGUUGAGGAGGAAUUGGAAGUUUGUCGGCUUAGACCUGGUGUCAUUCCAUCAGUGUUAAACUUCCCGGCUCAUCUUGGAAGAGUACGUGCCAGAAAGACCACGACCAAGCAGCCUUGAGAUCUUAGACAGCGUCUCCCUCAGGUCCCUCUCUAUCUCCCCACACAUCCACCAACCACUGGAACACAUCUCCAAAGUUCUGCCGGGCCAGCUCAGCUUCCCCUCAGAAGAAGUGCCGCCACCUGCCAGAUGAAGGAGCCUUUUGAGAGGCAGCUGGCAUCGUGAUUGGACUGUACUUUGGUCUGUUCCAAUCCAACUUCAGCUCCAGAGACGGCAGGCGGGACGAGUCAACGGAGGCCGGGUGGACGAAGGCAUGCAGCUGAGUACAAUCCAGAAAACAACAGAGGAGGAGUGCAGCUGUCCAGGGCCAGAACAACCAGAGUAGCAUCAUAUGUCUCUUAGAAAACAUCAUAGUAUAGCCUUUGGUAUGAAAAAAUGCCAUCAUAUACAUCAUAUAUUGUACAAAUAACAAGUCAAAGCAAAGAGACAUACAUUGUAGAAUUGUAGUAAUUGUGGGCUGACUGAUUUACUGAUUAUCAGUAUUUUAUUUUUUACUGAUUUACGGUAAUAAAUACAUUUUUUUUUUUUUGUCGGCUUUGUUGGAUAGGCACAGUGAGAGAGAGACAGGAAACAGGGGAGAAGAGUCGGGGAAGACAUGCAGCAAAGGGCCGCGAGCGGGAAUCGAACCCGGGCCAGCUGCGUCGGGGACCAGCCCCUGUACAUGGGUCGCCCGCUCAACGCGUUGAGCUAUACGGGCGCCCGUAAUAAAU